rnacentral:misc_RNA from 1 species
UCACCUCUCAAGCCUGGCUUGUUGUUGGACCCAGGUCCGGGUUCACCCCCGACCGGUCCCAAAAGUAAUGACGGCGUCCGUGGGACUCUCGGUGCAACGAGCUUUUCAAGCACGCACGGAGUCGAAAGGUCCCCCGGCACGGUCCUAUAACCCAUUUUUACAA